AGCUUGCUUUUUAAGCUUAGUGGCGAACGGGUGAGUAACGCGUGAGUAACCUGCCCUGAAGUGGGGGACAACAGUUGGAAACGACUGCUAAUACCGCAUAAGCCCACGGAUCCGCAUGGAUCUGCGGGAAAAGGAUUUAUUCGCUUCAGGAUGGACUCGCGUCCAAUUAGCUAGUUGGUGAGGUAACGGCCCACCAAGGCGACGAUUGGUAGCCGGACUGAGAGGUUGAACGGCCACAUUGGGACUGAGACACGGCCCAGACUCCUACGGGAGGCAGCAGUGGGGGAUAUUGCACAAUGGGGGAAACCCUGAUGCAGCGACGCCGCGUGGAGGAAGAAGGUUUUCGGAUUGUAAACUCCUGUCGUUAGGGACGAUAAUGACGGUACCUAACAAGAAAGCACCGGCUAACUACGUGCCAGCAGCCGCGGUAAAACGUAGGGUGCAAGCGUUGUCCGGAAUUACUGGGUGUAAAGGGAGCGCAGGCGGACCGGCAAGUUGGAAGUGAAAACUAUGGGCUCAACCCAUAAAUUGCUUUCAAAACUGCUGGCCUUGAGUAGUGCAGAGGUAGGUGGAAUUCCCGGUGUAGCGGUGGAAUGCGUAGAUAUCGGGAGGAACACCAGUGGCGAAGGCGACCUACUGGGCACCAACUGACGCUGAGGCUCGAAAGCAUGGGUAGCAA
rnacentral:rRNA from 1 species